GGAAUACCAGGAGAAGUAGGAUUUGAUGGUGAAGAUGGCCCUAAAGGUGAAAAAGGUGAAAGGGGAGAUCCAGGACCAAGAGGGAAAAGAGGCAAAGAUGGCCCCUUUGGUCCACCAGGAGAGAAAGGCCAGAAGGGUCAGCCAGGACUCACAGGAGAAGAUGGUAUACCUGGAGUAAAAGGACAACCAGGAGAAAAUGGUCGAUUUGGUCGAUAUGGUCCUCAGGGUCCACCUG